UGGCGGACGGAGGCUCCCGCCUGGCUCAUGCUCAUCUGCAUGCGAAGGCCGCGUGGGUCCCGGGGCGCAACCCGGCAGCUCCGCGGGGGUCACGGAGCCGACACGGAUUUGGAUCCCAAGGGGCUCAGGCUCCGAAGGCCUCUCGGCUCACGAAGUCCGCGGGGCCCAGGCCCCGUCUAUGCCGGGAGCGGCCUCGGGCCCCGCUUCGGGGGCGGCACAAGGGCUAGGGUCUGAGGUCCGGGAUCCCUGCGAUGGGAACCAAGGCUUCAGGUUGCCGAGACCCACGGAGGCUCCACUCUGUCGGAUUCGUGUCCCUGCGCCCCAGAACCCGACUUGCUGGCCCACGGCAGCGACCGCUUACGUCAGGUGCCCCGAGACUGCGGAAGCCGAGACGGAGACGGGGAAGUAAAUUCUCCUGAUUCUUAAACGGUGGCAACUAAUUUAAAGAAGAUGUUAAGUCCUCUUGUCCACCGAGCAACAGGGAUCUGGAACCUGACUUGGCCCAAGCCGGCUGGUGCCCCCGACUCUGGGACAUCUUCCCACGGGUUCUCGAUUUCUCAAUAUUCAGUCACAGAACGAGAAAACACAGAAAGAGGAAUUGGCUGGUUGGCGCGUUGGUGGCCCUUACGACCGUGUCAACUACCGAGCCUCGUCGCUCUCCUAGAGCAAACUUUUCUCACCACCCUCAAACAAGCCUCGUAGCAGCCAUUGCCCUCCGUGCACGCACAUAACCCGCCCACAGAGUCCUGCUUUCUUCCUAAGAGUUGUCUCUGGCCUGCCUCCAGCGAUCUGCCAGGAAGUUACAGGCUACGCACCCUUCAGCAAUGCGACUGAACUUCCGUUGUUUUUGGAAGAUGAAUUUAGAGGUGCUUUUCCAAUUACCAGCAGUGGUCAGAGAGACGGAGACAAAAGACUGCUGACUCUUUGCCUUGGCACGCACGGGCCCUCGCACCAGCGGGAGCUGGUUGUUGUGUCUUAGUGAUGAAUGCAGGGAAUCAGCAGCUUAAAAACCAAUUAGCUUUCUGCUUCUUUCGCUCAUGCGGGACAGCGCUGCGCGGGGUUUGGCUGCUUGAGAGUGGAGUUCAAACCGGGCCAGGCGUGGAAGUUAAGCUAGCAGAACUGAUGAAAGGAGCCGGUUUCAAGGACGUCCGUGCUCUUAGCGCCAUCAAAAUGUUCAUCUCAUUUCAUGGAACGCUUCUGAGUCGGAAUCGUCAGUACAGACGUUAAGGAUGCAGCAGCUAUUGACGCCUGUUCUAGGUCAUCACGCCUGAAGACACCAUGGGGCUUUAAUCUGAGAGUGGAAGUUUUUCUGUAUAGCUGUUGCUAUCUGCAAAUAUUUAUAAGGGGGACAGGCCUCAGGGCGCCCGAUUCAUCUCAGCUGUUAGGGUGAAGAGACAGACUUGGUACAGAAGCCCAGCUCCGCGAACGGCUUGGGGUACUGAAUUGCUGGGAAGAGUUUGGGUUUUGGAGCCUCAGAGAUCUGGCUUCAGUCUUCAGGCAAGCUUCUCAUCCACCCGGGACCUGUUUCCUCAUCUGAACAUUGGGGAGCUGGGGGAGAUGAUUCAUGUGCUCCUUUCCAGCCUUUACCACCCGUCGACUUCCAAGGAUCUCUUGCUGUCUGUCCUCUUUCUUUCUUAGCAUCCCCCUGGAACAUCCCACCCGACACCUUGUUGCUGGCACCCGUAGGAAUAGAACGCACUGCCUUAUGUAA